rnacentral:misc_RNA from 1 species
GAUGAAGAACGCAGCGAAAUGCGAUAAGUAAUGUGAAUUGCAGAAUUCAGUGAAUCAUCGAAUCUUUGAACGCACAUUGCGCCCCUUGGUAUUCCGAGGGGCAUGCCUGUUCGAGCGUCAUUAUAACCCCUCAAGCUCAGCUUGGUGUUGGGGCCUGCUGCACUGGCAGCCCUUAAAAUCAGUGGCGGCGCCAUCUGGCUCUAAGCGUAGUAAUUCUUCUCGCUAUGGAGUCCUGGUGGAUGCUUGCCAUCAACCCCCAAUUUUUCUAUGGUUGACCUCGGAUCAGGUAGGGAUACCCGCUGAACUUAAGCAUAUCAAGAAGCGGAGGA